AUGGCGACGGCGGCGUGUCCUCUCCCUCACCGGUCUCUGCUCCUCCUCCAUCUGGCCCUCCUCGCUUUCCUGCUGGCGGCGGCCCCGGCGGCCCAGGCGUGGACGGGGGAGAUCCGCGGCCGCGUCGUCUGCGACGUCUGCGCCGACUCUGCCAUCGGGCCCGAGGACCACGUCCUCGAAGGCGCUGAGGUUGCUGUUCUGUGCAUCACGAAAUCUGGUGAGGUCAUCAACUACCAGGCGUUCACAAACUACAAGGGCGUCUACAGCGUUGCAGAGACAAUGCCUGAGAGCGACCGAUGGGAUUCGUGCCUGGCAAGGCCCAUCAGCAGCUUCCACCAGCAUUGCACCAGGAGGGGGGACGCACACUCUGGGGUCAAGUUCACAUACAACAAACAGUCAGGGAGCUCGCACAACGUCAAGACGUUCCUCUACAAGCCUGCCAACGUUCCUCUGUACUGUAGCUGA
rnacentral:rRNA from 1 species